AGUGAACGCUGGCGGUAGGCCUAACACAUGCAAGUCGAACGGCAGCACAGUAAGAGCUUGCUCUUACGGGUGGCGAGUGGCGGACGGGUGAGGAAUACAUCGGAAUCUACUUUUUCGUGGGGGAUAACGUAGGGAAACUUACGCUAAUACCGCAUACGACCUACGGGUGAAAGCAGGGGAUCUUCGGGCCUUGCGCGAUUGAAUGAGCCGAUGUCGGAUUAGCUAGUUGGCGGGGUAAAGGCCCACCAAGGCGACGAUCCGUAGCUGGUCUGAGAGGAUGAUCAGCCACACUGGAACUGAGACACGGUCCAGACUCCUACGGGAGGCAGCAGUGGGGAAUAUUGGACAAUGGGCGCAAGCCUGAUCCAGCCAUACCGCGUGGGUGAAGAAGGCCUUCGGGUUGUAAAGCCCUUUUGUUGGGAAAGAAAAGCAGCAGGUUAAUACCCCGCUGUUCUGACGGUACCCAAAGAAUAAGCACCGGCUAACUUCGU
rnacentral:rRNA from 1 species